UAACCUGGGCGAGGAACAACGCUCCGGCAUCGCCUACACCCGUUAUGCCUUCGAGAUCGACGGCCUCAGGUUCGCCGAGUACAUGCGUGACCAAACCGAGGUAGCGCUGCGACGCGAGGGUGACCUGCUGCCUGGGAUGC
rnacentral:misc_RNA from 1 species